rnacentral:rRNA from 1 species
UACGAAGGGGGCUAGCGUUGCUCGGAAUCACUGGGCGUAAAGGGUGCGUAGGCGGGUCUUUAAGUCAGGGGUGAAAUCCUGGAGCUCAACUCCAGAACUGCCUUUGAUACUGAAGAUCUUGAGUUCGGGAGAGGUGAGUGGAACUGCGAGUGUAGAGGUGAAAUUCGUAGAUAUUCGCAAGAACACCAGUGGCGAAGGCGGCUCACUGGUCCGGUACUGACGCUGAGGUGCGGAAGCGUGGGGAGCAAACAGG